UCAGCUUCUCGGCCUUUUGGCUGAGAUCAAGUGUAGUAUCUGUUCUUAUCAGUUUAAUAUCUGAUACGUCCUCUAUCCAAAUCUACUUAAGUUCAAAUUACACUUUUAAAAAUAACUAUUAGAAACCCCAUUUAGGAGGACUGCUUGAGUUCAGGAUUUCAAGACCAGCCUGAGCAAAGGUGAGAUCCU
ensembl:snRNA U2 U2 spliceosomal RNA